GACGAACCGUGCGAACGUUAUUCGGAAUCACUGGGCCUAAAGCGCGUGUAGGCGGAUCGGUGCGUCGGCGCCUGAAAUCCCCCGGCUCAACCGGGGAACGCGGCCCGAAACGACCGGUCUCGAGGGACGUAGGGGGAACUGGAACUUCCGGUGGAGCGGUGAAAUGCGUUGAGAUCGGAAGGAACGCCCGUGGCGAAAGCGAGUUCCUGGACGUCUGCUGACGCUGAGACGCGAAAGCUAGGGGAGCGAACGGG
rnacentral:rRNA from 1 species